rnacentral:rRNA from 1 species
AGUGAACGCUGGCGGUAGGCCUAACACAUGCAAGUCGAACGGCAGCACAGUAAGAGCUUGCUCUUACGGGUGGCGAGUGGCGGACGGGUGAGGAAUACAUCGGAAUCUACUUUUUCGUGGGGGAUAACGUAGGGAAACUUACGCUAAUACCGCAUACGACCUACGGGUGAAAGCAGGGGAUCUUCGGACCUUGCGCGAUUGAAUGAGCCGAUUUCGGAUUAGCUAGUUGGCGGGGUAAAGGCCCACCAAGGCGACGAUCCGUAGCUGGUCUGAGAGGAUGAUCAGCCACACUGGAACUGAGACACGGUCCAGACUCCUACGGGAGGCAGCAGUGGGGAAUAUUGGACAAUGGGCGCAAGCCUGACCCAGCCAUACCGCGUGGGUGAAGAAGGCCUUCGGGUUGUAAAGCCCUUUUGUUGGGAAAGAAAAGCAGCAGGUUAAUACCCCGCUGUUCUGACGGUACCCAAAGAAUAAGCACCGGCUAACUUCGUG